rnacentral:rRNA from 1 species
AUUGAACGCUGGCGGCAGGCCUAACACAUGCAAGUCGAGCGAGCGGCGGACGGGUGAGUAAUGUAUGGGGACUGCCCGAUAGAGGGGGUUAACUUCUGGAAUCGGUGGCUAAUACCGCAUACUAUUGGAUAAUCCAUAUGGGUUUAGCUAUUAGGUGGGGUAAAGGCUCACCUAGGCGACGAUCUCUAGCUGGUCUGAGAGGAUGACCAGAGACAAUGGGACUGAGACACGACCCAGACUCAAAGGGAGGGAGCAGGGGGGAAGAUUGCACAAUGGGCGCAAGCCUGAUGCAGCCAUGCCGCGUGUAUGAAGAAGGCCUUAGGGUUGUAAAGUACUUCCAGCUGGGAGGCGUUACCCGCAGAAGAAGCACCGGCUAACUCCGUGCCAGCAGCCGCGGUAAUUC